GAUGAACGCUGGCGGCGUGCCUAAUACAUGCAAGUCGAGCGAACAGACGAGGAGCUUGCUCCUCUGACGUUAGCGGCGGACGGGUGAGUAACACGUGGAUAACCUACCUAUAAGACUGGGAUAACUUCGGGAAACCGGAGCUAAUACCGGAUAAUAUAUUGAACCGCAUGGUUCAAUAGUGAAAGACGGUUUUGCUGUCACUUAUAGAUGGAUCUGCGCCGCAUUAGCUGGUUGGUAAGGUAACGGCUUACCAAGGCAACGAUGCGUAGCCGACCUGAGAGGGUGAUCGGCCACACUGGAACUGAGACACGGUCCAGACUCCUACGGGAGGCAGCAGUAGGGAAUCUUCCGCAAUGGGCGAAAGCCUGACGGAGCAACGCCGCGUGAGUGAUGAAGGUCUUCGGAUCGUAAAGCUCUGUUAUUAGGGAAGAACAAAUGUGUAAGUAACUAUGCACGUCUUGACGGUACCUAAUCAGAAAGCCACGGCUAACUACGUG
rnacentral:rRNA from 1 species